AAUUAUUCUUUUCAACCAAAAACUCUCACUCAGGCCUUUUCCUGUCCCUAGCAGCAACAUCCUUGCUUAGGCCUGAGCCCCAGAAGCUGCUAGAACCAUCCAUGGCCUCUCCAUGGCCAACCUGAGCCUGCUCUGAGUCUCCAGGCCCUGCUUGGAAGACCUUGUGGGCUCUAGGAGGGAGUCUGUGACAGGAAGCCCACACCUCCAGGUGCCCCCGGAGUGCUCCCUGCCUCCGACAGAGCCUCCAGGCCCCCUGUGCCCCCAGCUUCCCUCCCUUGGCCUUCCUGAGAGGCUGAGUCUGGGGAGCCCACAGAGCUCAGCAUGGGUCUGGACACCCACACUCCGCAGCACUAAAACAGUAAAGUUAAAAGCGCCCUUUGAAUCAGCUGGUCAAGUCCCCGAUUUACAGAUGAGGAAACUGAGGCCCAGACAGCAGGAAGUCGUCCUGCCCAGGAUACACAACCGGUAAGUGGGUGAGCAGGGACUGCCACUUAGCCCACAUAAUAUCUCCAAGGGCCCCAAGAGUCACAUUAGCUUCCUCCUGACCAUCCUUUAAAGCUCUCUGCUCCAGGCAUCCCAGGCCUUCCCAGCAUCUCAGCUUCUCUGCGUGAUCCUGAAAGGUGGCGAACUUGGGGUCUCAGACCCCUUCCUCUAAGCGCUACAGCGUCCCCUCCCGAGCCCGAGCACGUAAC